AAAGAUUAAGCCAUGCAUGUCUAAGUACAAGCCUCAGCAAGGUGAAACCGCGAAUGGCUCAUUAAAUCACACCUAAUGUACUGGACAGUCUCAGUUACUUGGAUAACUGCGGUAAUUCUGGAGCUAAUACAUGCGCACAAGCCCCGACUCACGGAGGGGCGCUUUUAUUAGACUAAAACCAAACGGCUUCGGCCGUCCCACUGGUGAAUCUGAAUAACUUUGAGCUGAUCGCACGGCCUUGUGCCGGCGACGUGUCCUUCCAAGGUGUGCCCUAUCAACUGUCGACUGU
rnacentral:rRNA from 1 species